rnacentral:rRNA from 1 species
UACGUAGGGUCCGAGCGUUGUCCGGAGUGACUGGGCGUAAAGCGCGCGCAGGCGGCCCGCGAGGUGUCCUGUGAAAGCCCCGUGCUCAACGCGGGAGGGUCAGGGCAAACCGGCGGGCUUGAGGCCGGUAGAGGUGGGUGGAACUCCUGGUGGAGUGGUGAAAUGCGUAGAGAUCAGGAAGAACACCCGUGGCGAAGGCGGCCCACUGGGCCGGUACUGACGCUGAGGCGCGAAGGCGUGGGGAGCGAACGGG